CCUUCCAACUUGGCAUGAUGACGUCAUAUUGAUGCCUCAUGUAUGCUUUUGGAAGGUAAAGUAAUGGUGGGAGUCUAUGCCUUCGGUGUUCAAGUAACAUUACUUGGAUCCCAUCCUCAAUACUCCCUACAAUU